rnacentral:rRNA from 1 species
GAUGGGCCCGCGGCCUAUCAGCUUGUUGGUGGGGUGAUGGCCUACCAAGGCGACGACGGGUAGCCGGCCUGAGAGGGUGACCGGCCACACUGGGACUGAGACACGGCCCAGACUCCUACGGGAGGCAGCAGUGGGGAAUAUUGCGCAAUGGGCGGAAGCCUGACGCAGCGACGCCGCGUGGGGGAUGACGGCCUUCGGGUUGUAAACCUCUUUCGCCAGGGACGAAGCGUGAGUGACGGUACCUGGAGAAGAAGCACCGGCUAACUACGUGCCAGCAGCCGCGGUAAUACGUAGGGUGCGAGCGUUGUCCGGAAUUAUUGGGCGUAAAGAGCUCGUAGGCGGUUUGUUGCGUCGGCCGUGAAAACUUGGGGCUUAACUCCGAGCUUGCGGUCGAUACGGGCAGACUUGAGUUCGGCAGGGGAGACUGGAAUUCCUGGUGUAGCGGUGAAAUGCGCAGAUAUCAGGAGGAACACCGGUGGCGAAGGCGGGUCUCUGGGCCGAUACUGACGCUGAGGAGCGAAAGCGUGGGGAGCGAACAGGAUUAGAUACCCUGGUAGUCCACGCCGUAAACGUUGGGCGCUAGGUGU